UACGGAGGGCGCAAGCGUUGUUCGGAAUCACUGGGCGUAAAGCGCGUGUAGGCGGCUUGGCAAGUCGGGUGUGAAAUCCCGGGGCUCAACCCCGGAACUGCAUUCGAUACUGCCUGGCUCGAGUCUCGGAGAGGGUGGCGGAAUUCCCGGUGUAGAGGUGAAAUUCGUAGAUAUCGGGAGGAACACCAGCGGCGAAGGCGGCCACCUGGACGGUGACUGACGCUGAGACGCGAAAGCGUGGGGAGCAAACAGG
rnacentral:rRNA from 1 species